GGGCUCGAAGAGCCCCCGUUCGCCGCGCGGCGCCGGCGAGGG
rnacentral:misc_RNA from 1 species